ACUGAGAUGGCAAAAUGUUAAGGUUGACCUUGAUGCACAAAACCUCACUCGCACUCAUUUCCCUAUAGAAUUAUCAUCAUGUUCAAUGUCCUUGGAUUCAACAGAAAAAGUAUCUUCAGUUCACAUCGACAUUCUUGACUCGUUUGUGUUGCGCUGUGUUUGAAUCAACCAUGACGAAGAAAAGGUUAAUAAUGAUUUAACUUUAAUUAUAAUUAGAUAUGUUCAUGAUAGACUUAGUAGUCUGAGAAUGGUCAAAACAGGAAUCAAAUCGCUCAAGUCUCCAUUAUGGGUAUUCCUAUGCCUCGUACUCAUUGUCACAGUCUACAUAUCCGGAAAAUCCAUUGGGGAAGUCUUCGUGUCAUAUACUCAAGGUGAAAUCAGUUCUGAGUUACAGAGUAUCGAUUAUGGCACAGUCUUGACGUCGGAUUUAUUUGUUGAAAAUUGGAUUCUGGAAGGAAGUCAUGUAGCAUGUCGUGAUAAAAAAUUGCUCACCAUUCUAGUCAUUUCUGCGCCUGAUCAUUUUGAUCAUCGUAGAGCAAUUCGAUCAACAUGGGGAGGUAUUAGCUCCGCACGAGAGGAUAUCACUUUUGCAUUCAUUAUUGGAUCCUCUUUGGAUCCGUCCAUUCAUGAGGAAAUAUUGAGUGAAGACUCAGAGUUUCAGGAUAUUAUCAUGUAUGGUAUGGAGGAUCUAUAUGAAAACUUGAGUAUGAAAACAAUUCAUGGUCUCAAAUGGAUUGAAAAAUUCUGUCCAAAUAAUGAUUUUUUUCUUAAAAUUGAUGAUGACAUGUUCCUUCAAAUUCCAAGGCUCAUUGGUUUUAUUAGAGGUUAUCAACGCUCAGGUUCAAAAGAGCCGGUUAUCUUUGGAAAGUUAGCUGAGGGAUGGCCCCCAGUUCACAAUCCAAAUUCAAAGUAUUAUAUCCGUCCUUCUGCAUACACGGGUUCCACUUAUCCAGGAUUUGUGACUGGGCCAAGUUAUCUUAUGAAUCAAGAGGCUAUAAAAAGACUCCUGAGUAACGUCAUGGCAUUACCCUACAUUCAUCUCGAGGAUGUUUUUAUAACAGGAGUCACAGCUGAGAAAUCCAAUGUUACGAGGAAACAUAUUCAAGAAUUCCGUAAUAAUGGGACACCCAUUCCUCCAAAGUUCAUUGGCUGCACACUUUUAAGAACAAUAACUAUUCACAAGGUGAAGCCAGAAGAGCAAAUGGACUACUUAAAGGUUGCCCAGCGUCCUCAAUGUGGUCAAAAGACUCAAAAGAAAGUGACAAUCACGAGGGUUGAUCCAAAAGUGCAAUGAAUCUAGUCAAAUACCCAUACAAAAUGCAAAGUCAUUCCAUGUUCUCAUUAAAUGAAAAUAAAAGCAAGUACCUGGGAAAUGAGUGUAAUCGAAGAUUCAACUCCAUAAUUUGAAUUCCGAUGUGGAAGCCAUGAUGUAAAACUUGACGUUUUAAAGAGGAAGAAAAAAAGUAACCAAAGCCCGCCAAUAGGAAAUGAGCAGAUUAUUACAACAUCAAUAUCUGCAUGAUGGCGAGAAGGAACUAUGUUUUCCAAAUAAGCAUUGUGUUUUCACUGACAACGUAAAUUGCAUCCUAAUUGAAGGAGUCUCUAUUUAAAAAAAAUCAUAUUUCAUAUUU
rnacentral:misc_RNA from 1 species